UACGUAGGGUCCGAGCGUUGUCCGGAAUUAUUGGGCGUAAAGGGCUCGUAGGCGGUUCGUCACGUCGGGAGUGAAAACUCGGGGCUUAACCCCGAGCCUGCUUCCGAUACGGGCAGACUAGAGGUAGGCAGGGGAGAGCGGAACUCCUGGUGUAGCGGUGGAAUGCGCAGAUAUCAGGAAGAACACCGGUGGCGAAGGCGGGCUCUGGCGGCAUACUGACGCUGAGGAGCGAAAGCGUGGGGAGCGAACAGG
rnacentral:rRNA from 1 species